rnacentral:rRNA from 1 species
AGUGAACGCUGGCGGUAGGCCUAACACAUGCAAGUCGAACGGCAGCACAGUAAGAGCUUGCUCUUACUUGUGGCGAGUUGCGAACGGGUGGGGAAUACAUCGGAAUCUACUUGUUCGUGGGGGUUAACGUAGGGGAAAUUACGCUAAUACCGCAUACGACAUACGGGUGAAAGCAGGGAAUCUUCGGAACUUGCGCGAAUGAAUGAGCCGAUGUCGGAUUAGCUAGUUGGCGGGGUCAUGGCCCACCAAGGCCACGAUCCGUAGCUGGUAUGAGAGGAUGAUCAGCCACACUGGCACUGAGGCAGGGUCCAGACUCCUACGGGGGGAAGCAGUGGGGAAUAUUGGAGAAUGGGGGAAAGCCUGAUCCAGCCAAACCGAGUGGGUGAUGAAGGCCUGCGGGUUGUAAAGCCAUUUUGUUGGGAAAGAAGAGCAGCAGGUUAAGACCCCGCGGUUCUGACGGUACCUAAAGAAUAAGCACCGGCUAACUUCGUG